AUGAACGCUAGCUACAGGCUUAACACAUGCAAGUCGCGGGGCAGCAUGGGGGUUGCUUGCAAUCCCCGAUGGCGACCGGCGCACGGGUGAGUAACGCGUAUCCAACCUGCCCUUCACCACGGGAUAACCCGGCGAAAGUCGGACUAAUACCGUAUGUUGUCCAUUGACGGCAUCCGAUUUGGACGAAAGGUUUGGCGGUGAAGGAUGGGGAUGCGUCCGAUUAGCUGGACGGCGGGGUGACGGCCCACCGUGGCGACGAUCGGUAGGGGUUCUGAGAGGAAGGUCCCCCACACUGGAACUGAGACACGGUCCAGACUCCUACGGGAGGCAGCAGUGAGGAAUAUUGGUCAAUGGGCGUAAGCCUGAACCAGCCAAGUAGCGUGCAGGAGGACGGCCCUAUGGGUUGUAAACUGCUUUUAUGCGGGGAUAAAGUGGCCCACGUGUGGGUUUUUGCAGGUACCGCAUGAAUAAGGACCGGCUAAUUCCGUG
rnacentral:rRNA from 1 species